rnacentral:rRNA from 1 species
GGGGGAUCUUCCGCAAUGGACGAAAGUCUGACGGAGCAACGCCGCGUGUACGAAGAAGGCCUUCGGGUUGUAAAGUACUGUUGUUGGGGAAGAACCGGUUAUGUGAGAAUAUUGCGUAACCCUGACGGUACCCAACGAGGAAGCCCCGGCUAACUACGUGCCAGCAGCCGCGGUAAUACGUAGGGGGCGAGCGUUGUCCGGAAUUAUUGGGCGUAAAGGGCGCGUAGGCGGCCAAUCAAGUCUGAUGUGAAAGUGCGGGGCUUAACCCCGUAAAGCAUUGGAAACUGGUUGGCUUGAGUGCAGGAGAGGAAAGUGGAAUUCCUAGUGUAGCGGUGAAAUGCGUAGAUAUUAGGAGGAACACCAGUGGCGAAGGCGACUUUCUGGACUGUAACUGACGCUGAGGCGCGAAAGCGUGGGGAGCAAAC